UACGUAGGGUGCAAGCGUUAAUCGGAAUUACUGGGCGUAAAGCGUGCGCAGGCGGUCCCAUAAGACAGAUGUGAAAUCCCCGGGCUCAACCUGGGAACUGCAUUUGUGACUGUGGGGCUAGAGUACGGUAGAGGGGGAUGGAAUUCCGCGUGUAGCAGUGAAAUGCGUAGAUAUGCGGAGGAACACCGAUGGCGAAGGCAAUCCCCUGGACCUGUACUGACGCUCAUGCACGAAAGCGUGGGGAGCAAACAGGAUUAGAUACCCUGGUAGUCCACGCCCUAAACGAUGUCAACUGGUUGUUGGGAAGGUUCCUUCUCAGUAACGUAGCUAACGCGUGAAGUUGACCGCCUGGGGAGUACGGCCGCAAGGUUG
rnacentral:rRNA from 1 species